rnacentral:rRNA from 1 species
CCUACGGGAGGCUGCAGUGGGGAAUAUUGCACAAUGGGCGCAAGCCUGAUGCAGCGACGCCGCGUGAGCGAUGAAGGCCUUCGGGUCGUAAAGCUCUGUCCUAAGGGAAGAAUAAUGACGGUACCUUAGGAGGAAGCCCCGGCUAACUACGUGCCAGCAGCCGCGGUAAUACGUAGGGGGCGAGCGUUAUCCGGAAUCACUGGGCGUAAAGGGUGCGUAGGCGGCCCUGCAAGUCAGGAGUUAAAUCCCUCGGCUCAACCGAGGUCAGCUCUUGAAACUGUAGGGCUUGAGUGCAGGAGAGGAGAGAGGAAUUCAUAGUGUCGCGGUGAAAUGCGUCGGUAGUAGGAGGAACACCAGUGGCGAGGGGGGCUCUCUGGACUGAAACUGACGCUGAGGAACGAAAGCGUGGGGAGCGAACAGGGUUAGAUACCCGAGGAGUC